UCGAUCCGUGCGCGGGAGAACCGUACGCACGGUUCGGGGAGAGACGCGGGCGAAAGUUUGUCCCUACCCCUAU
rnacentral:misc_RNA from 1 species